rnacentral:rRNA from 1 species
AGCGAACGCUGGCGGCAGGCUUAACACAUGCAAGUCGAGCGGGCGUAGCAAUACGUCAGCGGCAGACGGGUGAGUAACGCGUGGGAACGUACCUUUUGGUUCGGAACAACACAGGGAAACUUGUGCUAAUACCGGAUAAGCCCUUACGGGGAAAGAUUUAUCGCCGAAAGAUCGGCCCGCGUCUGAUUAGCUAGUUGGUAGGGUAAUGGCCUACCAAGGCGACGAUCAGUAGCUGGUCUGAGAGGAUGAUCAGCCACAUUGGGACUGAGACACGGCCCAAACUCCUACGGGAGGCAGCAGUGGGGAAUAUUGGACAAUGGGGGCAACCCUGAUCCAGCCAUGCCGCGUGAGUGAUGAAGGCCCUAGGGUUGUAAAGCUCUUUUAUGCGGGAAGAUAAUGACAGUACCGCAAGAAUAAGCCCCGGCUAACUUCGUGCCAGCCGCCGCAGUAA